UACGAAGGGGGCUAGCGUUGCUCGGAAUGCCUGGGCGUAAAGGGCGCGUAGGCGGCUUGCACAGUCAGGCGUGAAAUUCCUGGGCUCAACCUGGGGACUGCGCUUGAGACGUGUGGGCUUGAGUGGGGAAGAGGGUCGUGGAAUUCCCAGUGUAGAGGUGAAAUUCGUAGAUAUUGGGAAGAACACCGGUGGCGAAGGCGGCGACCUGGUCCUUGACUGACGCUGAGGCGCGAAAGCGUGGGGAGCAAACAGG
rnacentral:rRNA from 1 species